CUUGGGGGCCAGAUGUGAAUAACACAGUUUGUACAAAUGAAAGAGGCUGGAUAACCUACCAGGGAUUCCUUUCCCAGUGGACGCUCACGACCUAUUUAGAUGUACAGCGGUGCCUGGAGUAUUUGGGCUACUUAGGCUAUUCAAUAUUGACUGAACAAGAGUCUCAAGCUUCAGCC